rnacentral:rRNA from 1 species
CCUACGGGAGGCAGCAGUGAGGAAUAUUGGUCAAUGGACGAGAGUCUGAACCAGCCAAAUAGCGUGAAGGAUGACUGCCCUAUGGGUUGUAAACUUCUUUUAUAUGGGAAUAAAAUGUUCCACGUGUGGGAUUUUGUAUGUACCAUAUGAAUAAGGAUCGGCUAACUCCGUGCCAGCAGCCGCGGUAAUACGGAGGAUCCGAGCGUUAUCCGGAUUUAUUGGGGUUAAAGGGAGCGUAGGUGGAUUGUUAAGUCAGGUGUGAAAGUUUGCGGCUCAACCGUAAAAUUGCAGUUGAAACUGGCAGUCUUGAGUACAGUAGAGGUGGGCGGAAUUCGUGGUGUAGCGGUGAAAUGCUUAGAUAGCACGAAGAACUCCGAUUGCGAAGGCAGUUCACUGGACUGCAACUGACACUGAGGCUCGAAAGUGUGGGUAUCAAACAGGAUUAGAUACCCGAGUAGUC